rnacentral:rRNA from 1 species
AGAGAAUAGAUACCCCGGUAGUCCACGCCGUAAACGGUGGGCACUAGGUGUGGGACCCAUUCCACGGGUUCCGUGCCGUAGCUAAACGCAUUAAAGUGCCCCGCCUGGGGAGUACGGCCGCAAGGCUAAAACUCAAAGGAAUUGACGGGGCCCGCACAAGCGGCGGAGCAUGCGGAUUAAUUCGAUGCAACGCGAAGAACCUUACCUGGGUUUGACAUAUGCCGGAAACAUCUGGAGACAGGUGCCCCGCAAGGUCGGUAUACAGGUGGUGCAUGGCUGUCGUCAGCUCGUGUCGUGAGAUGUUGGGUUAAGUCCCGCAACGAGCGCAACCCUCGUUCUAUGUUGCCAGCGGUUCGGCCGGGAACUCAUAGAAGACCGCCGGGGUCAACUCGGAGGAAGGUGGGGAUGACGUCAAGUCAUCAUGCCCCUUAUGUCCAGGGCUUCACGCAUGCUACAAUGGCUGGUACAAAGGGCUGCAAUAUCGCAAGAUGGAGCGAAUCCCAUAAAGCCAGUCUCAGUUCGGAUUGGGGUCUGCAAC